UUUUGUUUGUGAAGGGCACACGGUGGAUGCCUGGGCAUCUUGGGCCGAUGAAGGACGUGGAAGGCUGCGUUAAGCCUCGGGGAGUUGCCAAUCGAGCGUUGAUCCGAGGAUGUCCGAAUGGGGAAACCCGG
rnacentral:rRNA from 1 species